ensembl:lncRNA
AUUUGAGAGCCUGAGGUAUCGGGCAAGAAAUCCUCACUCCUUAUUUUUCUGCACUUCACAGUGAGAGGGAAUGAUGGCAAGCACAGAAAUCCUGACAGAUUUCACCAUCAUUCUGCUUGGCCUGGAGUCACUUACAGUCCCCAGUGCUUGCCUGCUUACUAUAAAUAACAUCCUGUCAGGGAAAAAAAAAAAGAAAGAAGAAAGAAAGAAAAGAAAGAAAGAAAAGAAUUUUCAGCUUCUUAGUUGCUGGCAAUAGGAAAGUGUUUUCACGCUGUUUGUCAAGUAUUUGAGGCUCUGCCUUAGACUUCUAUAAUAAUUACUAUAAUAAACACAGAUUGGUUGUGGGCUUUGCAAGCCAUCCAGUGAAGGAAGCGCUCAAACAGGCUCAGCUGCAGAAAGGGAGCAAUACAGGCUGAUGUAGUCAGAGAGAAAAGACUACAGGAAAAAAAGUGAGAGUUAAUCAGAAACCCUGAGGGUUUGGGAGGAAAAGAGCUUAUGAGUGAGAGGAAGACAUAUUCUGAUGGAGCACAGCCAAGCACAGUGCCCGUGGGCAAUGGUGAUCCCAAUGAAGUGGUGAGCAUGCUCUCAGCAGGUGGAAAGCAGUUCUGGGCCUGCAGAAGAAUUCUAGCAGCACUCACAUGCCCGGAGAUACCUGGUGAAAGCAACACAGAGGAGAGAGAUUGUCCAAAAGACACUUUUUAGCACAGAAAAAUAAAGGAGAGACCCUUCCAUGUGACCGGCACAUGGGGUUCUACAUCGCCAAACCACUACCACAACGUAAAUGUGGUAACCUGGCAGCUGUCCUACACAGUGGUAACAUUUGUGCAGCAACGUUCAUGGAAAUAUGUAAUAAGCAGUAUUUUAAAAAUGCACUAAAAUAAACAAACAAAUGAGGACAGGCCUUUGAGGGCGGCUUUAGUGCUAUUUCUUUUAUACAGACCUAUACUAGGAAAGUAACGUAAUUUUUUGGCAGAAGCUGUGUUUUUUGAGGGCAGCCAUUAAGCACCUGUUGCCCUCACUGCAGUAAGGCAGAGCUUCCCACCACGAGAUACGGCUUUUCCCACAUGCAGCUCCCAUAGUUUGUCUGCUUUCUAUACUCCAGCACUUACUGUGUGUUUAUCUUUUUGAUAACUCUGACCAAAAAAUUGGCAAGGGACUUCAACUCCAGAGUUAAAUAAAAAUCACUCUUUUACAUACAAUUUUUUAAAGUAGGACCCUUUGCAGUGACUGUGGUCCAACAGAGUACUUAUCUGAGGUUUGUCUCCCUGGGAAUCUCUUUCUGAAAGGAGAGGCAGUCUUGAAAUGACAGGUCAAGGCACACGGACCAGAGCAACAAGCAGAGUACUCAGGGAUAUCCAAACACAUUUGACGUUGGCAUCCACUAACAAGACUGUCAAGCGCCUGUCGAAAUGCAAAUGUUUUUGUUGUGAGGUUUGGCAGUACCUAUGAGCACUGCUGACAGUUUGUUAAAAAUAACCCCAGAAAUGCAUCCUUUCUAGGUCAAAACUGACUAUGAAGCUGAGUGCACUGUAAUUACAGUGCACUAAAUGAGUUACAGCUUGAGCUAAUCACACCCCACUGCACUAAAAGCUGUAAUUACACACAGAGAGAGUGAGC